UUAACUCAAAUUUGUAUGUAGAUGGAACUGCCUACGUUUGCCGCUAGGGGCGCUGUUCCAACUGCAUACAAAUUUGAGUUA
rfam:Bombyx mori DNA, contig: Bm_scaf36_contig21421, strain: p50T/Dazao, build 2, whole genome shotgun sequence.